AUCAACGCUGGCGGCGUGCCUCAGACAUGCAAGUCGAACGAUUAAAGCUCUCUUCGGAGAGUGCAUAGAGUGGCGCACGGGUGAGUAACACGUAAGUAAUCUACCUUCGAGUGGGGAAUAACGUCCGGAAACGGACGCUAAUACCGCAUAAUGCAGCGGCAUCGUAAGAUGACAGUUGUUAAAGAUUUAUCGCUUGAAGAGGAGCUUGCGGCAGAUUAGCUAGUUGGUAAGGUAAUGGCUUACCAAGGCUACGAUCUGUAACCGGUCUUAGAGGACGGUCGGUCACACUGACACUGAAUAACGGGUCAGACUCCUACGGGAGGCAGCAGUCGGGAAUUUUGGGCAAUGGGCGAAAGCCUGACCCAGCAACGCCGCGUGAAGGAUGAAGUAUUUCGGUAUGUAAACUUCGAAAGAAUAGGAAGAAUAAAUGACGGUACUAUUUAUAAGGUCCGGCUAACUACGUGCCAGCAGCCGCGGUAAUACGUAGGGACCAAGCGUUGUUCGGAUUUACUGGGCGUAAAGGGCGCGUAGGCGGCUUUGUAAGUCACUUGUGAAAUCUCUGAGCUUAACUCAGAACGGCCAAGUGAUACUGCAAUGCUAGAGUGCAGAAGGGGCAAUCGGAAUUCUUGGUGUAGCGGUGAAAUGCGUAGAUAUCAAGAGGAACACCUGAGGUGAAGACGGGUUGCUGGGCUGACACUGACGCUGAGGCGCGAAAGCCAGGGGAGCAAACGGGAUUAGAUACCCCGGUAGUCCUGGCCCUAAACGAUGAAUACUUGGUGUCUGGAGUAAUUUGUGCUCCGGGUGCCGUCGCUAACGUUUUUAGUAU
rnacentral:rRNA from 1 species